rnacentral:rRNA from 1 species
CCUACGGGUGGCAGCAGUCGAGAAUCAUUCACAAUGGGGGAAACCCUGAUGGUGCGACGCCGCGUGGGGGAAUGAAGUUCUUCGGAUUGUAAACCCCUGUCAUGUGGGAGCAAAUUAGAGAGAUCGUACCACAACAGGAAGACACUACUAACUCUGUGCCAGCAGCCGCGGUAAUACAGAGGUCUCAAGCGUUGUUCGGAAUCACUGGGCGUAACGCGUGCGUAGGCGGUUUCGUAAGUCGUGUGUGAAAGUCGCGGGCUCAACCCGAGGACGGCACAUGAUACUGGGAGACGAGAGUAAGGGAGGGGGAAACGGAAUUCUCGGUGUAGCAGUGAAAUGCGUAGAUAUCGAGAGGAACACUCGUGGCGAAGGCGGGUUCCUGGACAGUAACUGACGCUGAGGCACGAAGGCCAGGGGAGCGAAAGGGAUUAGAUACCCGAGUAGUC